rnacentral:lncRNA from 1 species
CUUCACUUAAAGCAUUAUUCAAAUAGCAAAUUAAAAGAUAGAAAGUAAACUAAAGCAUACAAAGAAAAUUUUGUUUUACAGAUAGAAUGGAAAUGCAACUAGUCAACACUGAUUAUCUUAAGUGCAGAUCCAGUUAAGUUGCUUCAUUUCUGGUGUCACAUAAUGCACCCAUUUUUCAUCCUUUGUCACAAUAUAGUGCAGGAACUGCACUCUUCACGGUGUCAGAUCAUACGCAUGAGAGAUAAUCUCAUCUUUGUGGUUUUGUGAUCUUCUAUGAGUUGCCUCAGUAUCCAGCAUGAUCACUUUUUUCCUGUAUCCCAGUUACUCAUGAAUAAUAUUGUACAUAGUUCCCACUGAUAUGUAGAUGACAUGUAUAUUGUAUAAAAGGAAUGCCACACAGAACAUACUCAGUGAUAAAUAUGAAUAUGUUCUGUAUGGAGUUUAUAGAUGAAACUUUGGAUUUAUGCUUAAAAUGGAACCAGAUUGAGUUGAAUAAUAUCAAUUUCCUUGAUGUAAAUGUAGACAUAACAGGCCUGGAUUGUAAAACUACUCUAUAUAGGAAGCUUUCAUAUUUCCCAGUCAUAAUUCCAGCACAGUGCACAUCUCAAUAUGUGCAUUGUGUUGGAUCUGUAAAUCAUUAAUAGACGAAUUUCUGUUAAGUAUAAUCAAACUUUGCUAGGACUGGGCUAAAAAAUAGAGAGGAAAAUAUGGGUUGAAAUGGUUUUGUGGUCAGGCCAUCUUAUUUUCACAAAUCAAGACAGACAAGACCUUGUCAGCCCAGAUAAGAAAUCAGAUAUUUAUGUUAGGUAACAGAAAAUAAAUUACUGGUCAGAUGGAGAAAUACAUUAGUAAGAUCUCUAGGGUGUUAAGAAAGAGAAUUUCUGAACAUAAAACAGAUAUAGGGGCAGGUAAUAUGAACAUUGUACUGGCUAUAAGGUUUUAUGAGAUUAAUUUUUCAGUAAAGUGGGAUAGGUAAAAAUUAUAAAAUAUAUGCCUCUUUGGAAUUGGAAAUCUACUGCAGAAGUCUUAUGCAUACAGAAAAGAGAAUAAAUUGUUGUGAUUAUUAAAAAUGCUUGAGGUAAUGCCAUUAUCCAAGCAUUGGUGCAUAAGAAAUGCCCUAUGAUAUAUGGUAGAAAAUAUUAAUUCUAUUUUAUCAGACUCAAAUUGCAUAAUUAUACUUAUUUAAUAAUUUGAAUGGUUUUACUUUCCACCAACAUGUGAUUCAUUUUGUG